CCCCCCAAAAACCAAAAUGUGACGGGGUUACCCAAAGUGUUCUCUUAAGAACUGUGGCAGGGGAGUAAUGUCCCCUGCUAGAAAGGAGAGGGCAAGGGUGGUGCCAGCCGCCGCGGUAAAACCAGCUCUUCAAGUGGUCGGGAUAAUUAUUGGGCUUAAAGUGUCCGUAGCCGGUUUAGUAAGUUCCUGGUAAAAUCGGGUAGCUUAACUAUCUGCAUGCUAGGAAUACUGCCAUACUAGAGGGCGGGAGAGGUCUGAGGUACUACAGGGGUAGGGGUGAAAUCUUAUAAUCCUUGUAGGACCACCAGUGGCGAAGGCGUCAGACUGGAACGCGCCUGACGGUGAGGGACGAAAGCCAGGGGAGCGAACCGGAUUAGAUACGUCGGUGCUAGAACAAUAAAUAAACUAACACCACGCUAAAAACCCGGGUAGUCCUGGCCGUAAACGAUGCAUACUAGGUGAUGGUACGGCCAUGAGCCGUAUCAGUGCCGUAGGGAAACCGUUAAGUGUGCCGCCUGGG
rnacentral:rRNA from 1 species